UGUGCUUGUUUCAGAUCUACUACAUUGCAGUCGGACUGCGCAUAAUCACUGAUCUACAGAAAUCCCCUUGGUUAAAACAACUACUCAUUAUGUGAUGAAGAUUAGCGUAUCUGCACAGAUCCUUGCUCAAAUGUAUCCCCUCAAACAGGCGAUCUACCAGAGGUGGGACCAUGUCAUUACAAGUCACAAGUCUUCCGGAAGGCGGAGCUUCGCACCAGAUUGGCUAAACUUCUGCUGCAGCUUUCUGGCCCCCAGCAAACUCCGGGGAUUGUGGGAGAAGGAAAACAUAAGGAGAUGAAAAAGUGUAUUUGGUGUGUCUUUUGUUGUUGCUCGGGCACAGUGGAGCCACCUCUGAGGCUCUUCCAUCGCACAGUCCCUCUCCUACCAAGAUCCCCAAAAUCCCCAAGAUCCCCAAGGGAGAAGCAGAGCCAACAGGCCGACAGAAGAAGACUGGCAGUCAGAAGGAGAUGGUAACGAGGGGAGAGACAGGAAGAAGGGAGGAGACGGGAGGACGGAGAGAGACAGGAGCAGGGGGAGAGCAGUCAGAGCCCUGUCUAGCUGUGACCGACACAAGCCCCAAGGAAAACCAGGAAGGACAACGGAAUGGAUCCCAGCCGGCGACCCAAAAAAACGACUCCGUAAAAGAGGGAAACGUCCGGAGACGGGCACAUCGUGCACCACUCCCCAGCAUUCUUCUCGCCAAUGUCCAGUCUCUUGAUAACAAGGUUGAUGAAAUCCGAGCAAGGGUAGCAUUCCAGAGGGACAUCAGAGACUGUAACGUUCUUUGCUUCACGGAAACAUGGCUCACUGGAGAGACGCUAUCGGAGGCGGUGCAGCCAGCGGGUUUCUCCACGCAUCGCGCAGACAGAAACAAACAACUUUCUGGACCUGAGCCCUAGGAUCAUGCCACAGGACUACCUGGCAUGAGGACCUGGCCGUGCUGCUGCUCCAGUUUCAACUGUUCUGCCUGUGAUUAUUAUUAUUUGACCAUGCUGGUCAUUUAUGAACAUUUGAACAUCUUGGCCAUGUUCUGUUAUAAUCUCCACCUGGCACAGCCAGAAGAGGACUGGACACCCCUCAUAGCCUGGUUCCUUUCUAGGUUUCUUCCUAGGUUUGGGCCUUUCUAGGGAGUUUUUCCUAGUGCUUCUACACCUGCAUUGCUUGCUGUUAGGGGUUUUAGGCUGGGUUUCUGUACAGCACUUUGAGAUAUCAGCUGAUGUAUGAAGGGCUUUAUAAAUAAAUUUGAUUUGGUUUGCCUUAGGCCGCUGCGCCACUCAGGAGCCCCCUUAAAGGCAAAACGGAUCCUAGAUCAGUGUCUAUUUUGACUUCAUUCCCUCAUAAUGCCACCGCCUUUACGUGCGAUGAAUCGAUGAAGAAGGUUGAUGCAACCUGUCAGGUCCAAGUGGAA
ensembl:lncRNA